ACCGAGGUAGCUCAAUGGUAGAACAUCCUUACUAGAGAUGGGAAGAUUCCAGGUUCGGGUCCCGGCCGCGGUA